rnacentral:rRNA from 1 species
UCGCCUGUUUAUCAAAAACAUCGCCUCUUGAAAAAUAUAAGAGGUCCAGCCUGCCCAGUGACUCUGUUCAACGGCCGCGGUAUCCUAACCGUGCGAAGGUAGCGUAAUCACUUGUUCUUUAAAUGAGGACUAGUAUGAAAGGCAUCACGAGGGUUAUACUGUCUCCUUUUUCUAAUUAGUGAAACUAAUCUCCCCGUGAAGAAGCGGGGAUGCUUAUAUAAGACGAGAAGACCCUAUGGAGCUUUAAAUAAUAUAACAAUUGCCACUUUAUUCUUAUUAAUUUUUAACAUCUGGCAAUAUGAUUAUUAAUUUUUGGUUGGGGUGACCGCGGAGUAUAACAUAACCUCCACAUUGAAAGGAUUAAUAUCCUAAGCUAAAAACAACAACUUUAAGCAUCAACAAAUUGACAUCAAUUGACCCAAUAUAUUUGAUCAACGAACCAAGUUACCCUAGGGAUAACAGCGCAAUCUACUUUAAGAGCCCAUAUCGACAAGUAGGUUUACGACCUCGAUGUUGGAUCAGGGUAUCCUAGUGGUGCAGCCGCUACUAAUGGUUCGUUUGUUCAACGAUUAAAACCCUACGUGAUCUGAGUUCAGACGGGA